CCUCGCCUCAGCUCAGGCCUGAUACUCAGAGGUUUGGCAUCUGUGCGAAGCUAGGCAAGUGGGGUUUAUAUAUCUGUGGAAGGUCCAGGGUGGGAGAAAGAACUCUUGUCUGUGGGAGGCAAGUGUGAAUGUUGCAAUUGGUCACCUUGAUUAGCAUUGAAUAGCCUUGCAGCUUCAAAGCCUGGCUGCUUCCUACCUGGGGGAAUCCUUUGUUGGGAGGUAUUAGCUGGCCCUGAUUGUUUCCUGUCUGGAAUUCCCAUUUUCUGGGUGUUGUUCUUUUACUGUCCUGAUGUUAGCUUUUCUGUAGCUAAAAAUGCAUAUAAAAUUGAUUCUACAGGGAGGAUAAAUGAUUGGAUUUCAACUCCUACAGCUUAGCUUUCUCUGCCAAUAAUGGUACCAUAUCAAACUAAACCUCCCAAGAUUCUGUAGCAGUGAGCCAUCUUGGAUAUUGUAAGGGAUUUUUUAUUAUUAUUAUUAUUAUUAUUAUUAUUAUUAUUAUUAUUAUUAGACCUUGCUCCCAGGAAGGUGCCUUCGCUGUGGCUCCCAACUUAUCUAUCUACCUUUCCACAUAUUCUCCACAUUGUGUGUAUGUGUAUGUAUAUUAUAUAUACAUGAGCCCCGAUGGCGAAGUGUGUUAAAGCACUGAGCUGCUGAACUUGCAGACCGAAAGGUCCCAGGUUCAAAUCCCGGGAGCAGAGUGAGUGCCCGCUGUUAGCUCCAGCUUCUGCCAACCUAGCAGCUUGAAAACAUGCCAAUGUGAGUAGAUCAAUAGGUACCGCUGUGGCGGGAAGGUAAUGGCACUCCAUGUAGUCAUGCCGGCCACAUGACCUUGGAGGUGUCUAUGGACAACACUGGCUCUUGGGCUUAGAAAUGGAGAUGAGCACCAACCCCCAGAGACAGACAUGACUGAACUUAACGUCAAGGGAUACCUUUACCUUUACCUAUACACACACACACACACACACACACACACACAUUAUGCAGGGACUAUAUAUAUAUUAUAUAUACACAGUAUAUAUCACACACACACCAAUUUAACAAAGUUUCAGCCACAAAAACAAAGUUUCUGAAGUAGAACAAUGACUUUCACAGUAAAGACAACCCAAUUUAACAGGAAAUAAGACUUUCAAACCAGGAACAGAUUUCUGCAAUUAUUAAAAAAUGGUUUAUUAUAAAAGCUAUGAAAAUUCGCCAAAAAUCAGAGGAUAAGGGAAACGUUCCAAAUUUUGGUGAGCUAUCAGUGUUAAAUGUGUUCUACCACUGUACCAAGUUGGAAGAAGAUCACUCAAAAAAUGAGGGUGGGAGAAAAUCCCUCUGUGCUGUUUUUGGGAAUUGCGCAUGCGCGUCCGCCAUUAACGAAUUAAUUUAGAAAAUAACGAAUUUUCGUUAAUUUCGAAUUUUUUGGGGGGCCAAAUUCGGAAAUACCAUCAGAAACGAAAAGCUGCCCCCCUCUAGUUUUGAAACGAGUUUAGAAUCAAAUUUUUCGUGGAUCGAUCAAGCCUAAUAGUUACGAUACUUUUGUUUUUUUAUUCCCUUCUCCCUCCCCACACCCACUCCUCCCCCUUCCCUGUUGACAACUUAAUCCUUUUUUUCUCGUUACAUGAGCCUUUUUCCAUUCUAUACCAUUUUUUCUUCCAGCUUUCAUCAUCUGGUUUAACAGUCUAUAGCCAUCUUCUAAAUGGACUGCAUAUUUCUUUAAUUUUCUUCUGUUUGACCAUGUUUUUUGCUUCUUAUAAUGUCCGUAAUAUCCAGUUGUAUUUGAUCCCACAUAUAUUCAUACCAUUUUUCAAGUGUACAUUUCUUUUUAUCUUUCCACCCCUACGCUAUUACUGCAUGUACUGCUCUAAAAAUUAUCAUCAUUAAUUUUUGGUCUUGUUCCUUAAUUCCUCUAUCCCCAUAUAUCCCUAUUAACAAAAUUUACAUAUUUAUAUUAAAUUUUGUUUUAGUAUGUAAUACAACCUGGUUUAGGAUUUACCAGUUUACCAGCAGUUAGGAUUUCUGGAAGUUGAAGGCCAAAACAUCUGGGGACCCACAGGUUGAGAACCAUUGCCUUUGAUUGCUCUAGUCCAACCUUCCAACUCUUAAAUUCUCAUGGAAUACAAGUUCUAUAUGAAUUAAAUGAGAGCAGAAAAUACUAUCUACUGAAUUGUCUAACUCCCUUGCCUUCCAAUUCCCUUAUCUAGCUUUGAUAAUUUGGAAAGACCUGGAGAUUUUGUUUUUCCUAAUAAGCAAUUCUGUGGGUUGAGGAAAAAUCAGAGAGUGGAUUAUACAAUCUAUUUUAAUUUAUCAAAAGGGAUGAUAUAUUUUUGACUUUAAAUAAUUAAUUGUGUAAGUUUGGAUCAGCAACUCAAUGGCAAUACAUUAGCAAUGGAGUUGCUAAUAUGUUCGUGUGUGUAUAAGCCACCAUGGGACUAUGAUUGCAAUGUGAAAAUACACAUAAUUACUCUCUGAAUCCAUAGCCACCAAAAAAUAUUUUCCCAAAGUGUCGGGAUAGAUAAAGUGCAGCAUCAGAUUUUGUUGGAUAGCAGCUAGCUACCAUGGGCCCACAUGAACAUAGCCAAUAGUGAGAAUUGCUGGUAAUUAAAACCCAAGAACAUCUGGAAAUCUAUACUUUACCCUUUAGAGGAGGGAUGUCAUCCCAAUUAUAUGAAAAGAAAGAUGCCCCCACCCCAAACCUAAACAGUAGAGACUGUUAAGUGGAAAGUCUCUCUUGACCUGGAUUCAGCGAUAUCACAUGGAUAUGUUCAUAUGUUAAUAUACACCACCUAUAAAGGUUCCUGUUCGUUCAUGUGGACAACAAAAGAAGAAAAUCGAAUUAAAAUAGUUACAAAAUGUUUCUAUUUACUGAUCAGUAAUUCUCAAUAUCAUGAAACAGUUAUCAACACAUUUCAGUGUUCCUUUUGUAAGAAAAACUUAUUCACAUAAUGCUUACAAAGUGGCACACAUGGUUGCCUAUCCGUCUUUUGGAACAAAAGAUAAAGAAAACCAACAUCUAAAUAUUUUGGGAAAUGUAUCAAAAUAUUGGGAACAAUUAACAGUAUCCAAACACAUUUUUUUGCUCUCAUUAGCUGUUCCACUUGAUCACACUGUGGUGAGAAACUCUUUUUUCUACUUUUUUUCCUUCAUCCAACAAAAAAUGGUGGUAGGAACGCAGGGACAAAAUUGAAUAAUUUGAAGUCUCAGGGGCAACCAGGCAAGAUGGGGUGCAAACACAUAAUUAAACUCCCCUCACCACUCAUUCUAUGUUGAGUAAUGACACAACUUUCUUCACAGUCUGAUCACAGACAGCUAAUGAGAAGGCAAAGAGACACAGAAUAUUGUGACAUCAGGACAGAAGCUAUUCUGCUGGCCAUUCCAAACAGGAUGGAUGGCCACAGAGGGAUUACAAGCACAGCUGGAAUCAUGCCUCUCAUGGGCAUUCAUAAAGAGAACCCAUGAAAAAUCAGACACAUUCCAGGUGCAAAAUUGAGGUUUAUGCAUGAAGUAUAAGUUAUCAAGAAAUGUUUGUUUUGCUGAAGCAUGCAAACAGAGCAUUGAACUAGGCUUUUCUUUAAACACAAAAUUGCUUGAGGACCUGACAACAACUGCUACUUGCAGGUGGACUGAAUUCAUCAAGCAGUCCUCAAAAGCAACCCAAUUGAGAUUUAUGGCGUGAUUCCACUUUCAGCCUAACUCUAAGAGUCGCCAUACAACUGCCUGAAGCAAGGUUUGGAGCGAAACUACAGGAAUUUUGCCCCAAGUGCUGAAACCUGUUGUUUUAGAGUAGAUGAGACAUCAAACAUCAGAGAAACUUCUUCAGUAGAUGGAUCUCCUCCUCCUGUCAGUGAAGUCAGGGAAACCCCCGGGCAAUUCCUGCAUGGAUCCUAACUGGCACGGUUUCUCAGCCAAUCGGGAAAAGCAUGGGAAGACUGAACAGCUUUCAGAACUGCAUAAAAUGUUUUGUAUUUUGCUGUGAAUUUAUGCUUGUACAUUUGAAGCAUUUGUUCAUACUUGCAUCCCUUUUGGCCAAACUGAAUAGACCUCUGUAGCUUUGCCUUCAA